GUCAUCAAAUAAUAUGCAUCAUGUGUGACAUAGCAUAUAUUUGUGGAUUACUUUGUUUUAGAUGACUUCUUUCUCGGAGGCAACUAUCCAUAGUUGUCCAAUACUCCAUGAUGCUCCGAGCAUAAAAGAUUUAUGCUCUAUCUAUCAAUAGUUUAAUCCAUCUUUAGCAGUCAAAGAGUUGGUCUUCAUAUUGCAUGCAUCAGGUGUAAUUGGACCGCAUCAAAUUUUAUGGUGAAUAACAUGCUAUGCAACCCUUGUAUUUUAUC
rnacentral:lncRNA from 1 species